UGAAAGUCCGGGGCUCAANNCCGGAUNUGCGGUGGGUACGGGCAGACUAGAGUGAUGUAGGGGAGACUNGANUUCCUGGUGUAGCGGUGAAAUGCGCAGAUAUCAGGAGGAACACCGAUGGCGAAGGCAGGUCUCUGGGCAUUAACUGACGCUGAGGAGCGAAAGCAUGGGGAGCGAACAGGAUUAGAUACCCUGGUAGUCCAUGCCGUAAACGUUGGGCACUAGGUGUGGGGGACAUUCCACGUUUUCCGCGCCGUAGCUAACGCAUUAAGUGCCCCGCCUGGGGAGUACGGCCGCAAGGCUAAAACUCAAAGGAAUUGACGGGGGCCCGCACAAGCGGCGGAGCAUGCGGAUUAAUUCGAUGCAACGCGAAGAACCUUACCAAGGCUUGACAUGAACCGGAAAUACCUGGAAACAGGUGCCCCGCUUGCGGUCGGUUUACAGGUGGUGCAUGGUUGUCGUCAGCUCGUGUCGUGAGAUGUUGGGUUAAGUCCCGCAACGAGCGCAACCCUCGUUCUAUGUUGCCAGCGCGUUAUGGCGGGGACUCAUAGGAGACUGCCGGGGUCAACUCGGAGGAAGGUGGGGACGACGUCAAAUCAUCAUGCCCCUUAUGUCUUGGGCUUCACGCAUGCUACAAUGGCCGGUACAAAGGGUUGCGAUACUGUGAGGUGGAGCUAAUCCCAAAAAGCCGGUCUCAGUUCGGAUUGGGGUCUGCAACUCGACCCCAUGAAGUCGGAGUCGCUAGUAAUCGCAGAUCAGCAACGCUGCGGUGAAUACGUUCCCGGGCCUUGUACACACCGCCCGUCAAGUCACGAAAGUUGGUAACACCCGAAGCCGGUG
rnacentral:rRNA from 1 species